rnacentral:rRNA from 1 species
GCGAAUGGCUCAUUAAAUCAGUUAUCGUUUAUUUGAUAGUACCUUACUACUUGGAUAACCGUGGUAAUUCUAGAGCUAAUACAUGCUGAAAACCCCAACUUCGGAAGGGGUGUAUUUAUUAGAUAAAAAACCAACGCCCUUCGGGGCUUCUUGGUGAUUCAUGAUAACUUAACGGAUCGCAUGGCCUUGCGCCGGCGACGGUUCAUUCAAAUUUCUGCCCUAUCAACUUUCGAUGGUAAGGUAUUGGCUUACCAUGGUUUCAACGGGUAACGGGGAAUUAGGGUUCGAUUCCGGAGAGGGAGCCUGAGAAACGGCUACCACAUCCAAGGAAGGCAGCAGGCGCGCAAAUUACCCAAUCCCGACACGGGGAGGUAGUGACAAUAAAUACUGAUACAGGGCUCUUUUGGGUCUUGUAAUUGGAAUGAGUACAAUUUAAACCUCUUAACGAGGAACAAUUGGAGGGCAAGUCUGGUGCCAGCAGCCGCGGUAAUUCCAGCUCCAAUAGCGUAUAUUAAAGUUGUUGCAGUUAAAAAGCUCGUAGUUGAACCUUGGGUCUGGCUGGCAGGUCCGCCUCACCGCGUGUACUUGUCCGGCCGGGCCUUCCUUCUGGAGAACCUCAUGCCCUUCACUGGGCGUGUUGGGGACCAGGACUUUUACUUUGAAAAAAUUAGAGUGUUCAAAGCAGGCCUUUGCUCGAAUACGUUAGCAUGGAAUAAUAAAAUAGGACGUGCGGUCCUAUUUUGUUGGUUUCUAGGACCGCCGUAAUGAUUAAUAGGGACAGUCGGGGGCAUCAGUAUUCAAUUGUCAGAGGUGAAAUUCUUGGAUUUAUUGAAGACUAACUACUGCGAAAGCAUUUGCCAAGGAUGUUUUCAUUAAUCAGUGAACGAAAGUUAGGGGAUCGAAGACGAUCAGAUACCGUCGUAGUCUUAACCGUAAACUAUGCCGACUAGGGAUCGGGCGAUGUUCUUUUUCUGACUCGCUC